rnacentral:rRNA from 1 species
AGCAGCCGCGGUAAUUCCAGCUCCAAUAGCGUAUAUUAAAGUUGUUGCAGUUAAAAAGCUCGUAGUUGAAUUUCGGGAUCAAUUAAUUGGUCGUGCCUCUGGUACGCACUGGUUUUAUUGGUUUCUCCCUUCUGACGAACCACGAUGUCAUUAAUUUGGUGUCGUGGAGAAUCAGGACUGUUACUUUGAAAAAAUUAGAGUGUUUAAGGCAGGCUAACGCUUGAAUACAUUAGCAUGGAAUAAUGAAAUAGGACGUUUGAUCCUAUUUUGUUGGUUUCUAGGAUCGACGUAAUGAUUAAUAGGGAUAGUUGGGGGCAUUAGUAUUCAAUUGUCAGAGGUGAAAUUCUUGGAUUUAUUGAAGACUAACUACUGCGAAAGCAUUUGCCAAGGAUGUUUUCAUUAAUCAAGAACGAAAGUUAGGGGAUCGAAGACGAUCAGAUACCGUCGUAG